AGAGUUUGAUCCUGGCUCAGGACGAACGCUGGCGGCACGCUUAACACAUGCAAGUCGAACGAGAGAAGAGAAGCUUGCUUUUCUGAUCUAGUGGCGGACGGGUGAGUAACACGUGAGCAAUCUGCCUUUCAGAGGGGGAUACCGAUUGGAAACGAUCGUUAAUACCGCAUAACAUAAUUGAACCGCAUGAUUUGAUUAUCAAAGAUUUAUCGCUGAAAGAUGAGCUCGCGUCUGAUUAGCUAGUUGGUAAGGUAACGGCUUACCAAGGCGACGAUCAGUAGCCGGACUGAGAGGUUGAUCGGCCACAUUGGGACUGAGACACGGCCCAGACUCCUACGGGAGGCAGCAGUGGGGAAUAUUGCACAAUGGGGGAAACCCUGAUGCAGCGACGCCGCGUGGAGGAAGAAGGUCUUCGGAUUGUAAACUCCUGUUGUUGAGGAAGAUAAUGACGGUACUCAACAAGGAAGUGACGGCUAACUACGUGCCAGCAGCCGCGGUAAAACGUAGGUCACAAGCGUUGUCCGGAAUUACUGGGUGUAAAGGGAGCGCAGGCGGGAAGACAAGUUGGAAGUGAAAUCCAUGGGCUCAACCCAUGAACUGCUUUCAAAACUGUUUUUCUUGAGUAGUGCAGAGGUAGGCGGAAUUCCCGGUGUAGCGGUGGAAUGCGUAGAUAUCGGGAGGAACACCAGUGGCGAAGGCGGCCUACUGGGCACCAACUGACGCUGAGGCUCGAAAGUGUGGGUAGCAAACAGGAUUAGAUACCCUGGUAGUCCACACCGUAAACGAUGAUUACUAGGUGUUGGAGGAUUGACCCCUUCAGUGCCGCAGUUAACACAAUAAGUAAUCCACCUGGGGAGUACGACCGCAAGGUUGAAACUCAAAGGAAUUGACGGGGGCCCGCACAAGCAGUGGAGUAU
rnacentral:rRNA from 1 species